ensembl:lncRNA
UUGUUCUCAUCUCCGAAUAAAUCUGCUCGGUGACUUCCAUAGGACAAAGCAGGGAUUUCCCAGGCCAUGAUUCAGCACAGCUUCAUUCCAGCACCUCGGUGUUCUCCCUAUCUCAGUGCUGGGUGAGGCUGAGGUAGGAGAUGCCACUUCACACCAGCUCAGAUGAGGGCUGUGUGCGCUGCACGGCACUGGUGUGAGACAGCUGAUGAAAUGCUCUUUGCUUCUCUCUCGAAUCUAUUUCAGCACUCUUCACCAUCUGGUGAAACACUCCAAGGAAGAAAACAGCCUUGCAAUGUCUCAUUUUGCCGUGGUUUUUGAGCAUUAUUUUAAUGAUCUUUGUGUCAUUUAAGUAUGAUUACUUGUCCUCCAAGGCUUUUCCUGUUUAUACUUAAAUAGUGUUGGAGCGUAGCCAGACACGCUUUAAACAAAGUGAUAGAAAAUACUACAUUUUUUUUUUGUCAUAAAAGCUUAAAAGAAUCAUUUAUAAUUUGAGAACACAGUGGCACUUUGCAUUCUGGUAGGGUUUUUUCUUUUCUUUUUUUUUUUUUAAUAGAGAAAUAAAUGAAUUAAACAAGCAUAAUUACCAGUUAAAUUUUACAAAAUACCAAAGAAAUAGAGGGCUUAAUUCAAAAGGGUGGUAAUAGUAUAAAUAAUUAAGUCAAAUUGUUUUCAUUUUCAUGCCGCAUAUUGUUUCCUUCAGACUGUAAUGGUACAAGGCAAAGUAUGCGCAGUGCUAGAGCAAGACAAAUAAUAGAUAAAUUUAUUCAUAAACACUUGGUGGAUUUGUAAUUAGAAGUUCACUGCGGCGGCUUUCACUGGUCUUUAUUUUUUUCUCAAAUUUCUGUAAAUAUUUGCAUGAUUAAAUUUUUGCUUGGAAAAUGCAGACAGACCCAGAAUGCACCACAGAAGUGCUGUGAAUCCUUCUUCAUUUCUUGGCUGAAGUGGCAACCAGAUCCUCAGCAUCCUCACCCAAGUUUGCGCCCUCAACACAGCGUGGCCCUCUGCCAGCUGGCAGGUAAGACGAGGAUAGAGCACUUGCUCAGAGGAUGGUUUUUCACUCGGUACUGCUGUGCCCAGGACCAGGCUCCAAAAGCAAGCACAAGGGAACUCGUUAAGUACAACAGGAUGCGAUUAGUCCCACAUGGGGAGCUCAUGUGUUAUAUCAAAAGAAACAACAACCAGCUGGUAGAACUACUUACAUCAAGGAAAGGAAUGGUGAGGAGGAGAGCUGAGGAGAGCAGUGACCACCAGGAGAGCGAGUACUGGGUAUGAGACAAGAAGCUUUUGGAUCUACGUGGGGUGAGUUCCUUGCUGAGUUUGCUUCUAUCUGUCAGCUUUGCUUGGUACCAUGUAUCCCAAUUCAAACUGAUAGCAAGUAUCUGAGUCAAAUAAGUGAAUAUUUUUGCUAAGUGUUGUCUGUCACAUCCUGUUACUGCAUUUUGC